CAUGCAUAAUUUCUCCACAGGUAUAGAUCAAUUGAUGCUUGGAAGCGCUGCACCUCAAUUGCUGUGAAGGAGACAAGGAAGAAGGAGAUAAGGCAAGAGCUGCUGAACACUUCCAAACUAAAGACAUUCUUUGAAGACAACCCCAGGGAUCUAGAAGUUCUGCGCCAUGAUGUGCCCAAGCACGGCCUGAAGCCAAUGACCCAUCUGAAGAAUGUACCGGAAUACAAUAUCCCUGACCCUCUGCGAACUGUAUCCAAAGGUGGCAAAAGGUUGAAGUUCAACAAAAACAUUCCCAAGGCAAAAUUGAAAAAAAUGUCAAAUACACACAGAAAAUUUCAGGAGAAGAAAGGCAACCCUCUAAAGAGUAUGGAAUUUACUGGAUUUAAGAAAAGGAAGUGAUUGUGAUGAUUUAUAUAUUUUGUUAUUUGUGAGAGGGUGUCUAUAUAUCUUGUAUUAGGUGUAAUAAAGCAUUUGUUAUC